UACGGAGGGUGCAAGCGUUGUCCGGAUUUAUUGGGUUUAAAGGGUGCGUAGGCGGUUAAUUAAGUCAGUGGUGAAAUCCAGGAGCUCAACUUCAGAACUGCCAUUGAUACUGGUUGACUUGAGUACAGACGAGGUUGGCGGAAUUGAUGGUGUAGCGGUGAAAUGCAUAGAUACCAUCAAGAACACCGAUUGCGAAGGCAGCUAACUAGGCUGUAACUGACGCUGAGGCACGAAAGUGUGGGGAUCAAACAGG
rnacentral:rRNA from 1 species